rnacentral:rRNA from 1 species
UACGUAGGGUGCGAGCGUUGUCCGGAAUUAUUGGGCGUAAAGGGCUCGUAGGCGGUUUGUCACGUCGGGAGUGAAAACUCGGGGCUCAACCCCGAGCCUGCUUCCGAUACGGGCAGACUAGAGGUAUGCAGGGGAGAACGGACUUCCUGGUGUAGCGGUGAAAUGCGCAGAUAUCAGGAGGAACACCUGCGGUGUAGACGGCUUUCUGGACCAUUGCUGACGCUGAGACACGAAAGCGUGGGUAGCAAACAGG